GAUGAACGCUGGCGGCGUGCAUAACACAUUCAAGUCGAACGGGAAUCCGAUGAUUGAGACUUCGGUCGAUUGAAACGGAGGAUAGUGGCGGACGGGUGAGUAACGCGUGAGCAACCUGCCUUUGUGAGGGGGAUAACACAGGGAAACUUGUGCUAAUACCGCAUGACGCAUACAUGAAGCAUUUCAGGUAUGUUAAAGGAGCAAUCCGCACAAAGAUGGGCUCGCGUCUGAUUAGAUAGUUGGUGAGGUAACGGCUCACCAAGUCGACGAUCAGUAGCCGGACUGAGAGGUUGAACGGCCACAUUGGAACUGAGACACGGGCCCAAAAUCCUACGGGAGGCAGCAGUGGGGGAUAUUGGACAAUGGGGGAAACCCUGAUCCAGCGACGCCGCGUGAGUGAAGAAGUAUUCGGUAUGUAAAGCUCUAUCAGCAGGGAAGAAAAAGUAACCAAAUUGACUGUACCUGACUAAGAAGCCCCGGCUAACUACGUGCCAG
rnacentral:rRNA from 1 species